rnacentral:rRNA from 1 species
UACGAAGGGGACUAGCGUUGUUCGGAAUUACUGGGCGUAAAGCGCACGUAGGCGGAUUUGUUAGUCAGGGGUGAAAUCCCGGGGCUCAACCUCGGAACUGCCUUUGAUACUGCAAGUCUCGAGUCCGAUAGAGGUGGGUGGAAUUCCUAGUGUAGAGGUGAAAUUCGUAGAUAUUAGGAAGAACACUGGUGGCGAAGGCGGCCCACUGGAUCGGUACUGACGCUGAGGUGCGAAAGCGUGGGGAGCAAACAGG